UGGGCCAUGAGAAUCAGGAGCUGGCCUAUAAAAGAUGACAGAGACACUGGCAUUUCCACCUGCCCUACAACCCUCCUCCCCUGCUGCUGGGCUAAGCGGAAGGAUAGAUACUUAGCCAGCAAGUGAGACAGGAAAUCCACUCUCUGACAUGUGAACUAGGAGGCUAACUUGAGCCUUCUACAUUAUAACUGAACGUGCCAGGAUCAGUCGACCCAGAGACUAUGCCAUGGUGACCCCAAAGCAACUAGUCAGCACCAUCCAAGUCCAAC
rnacentral:lncRNA from 1 species